CCCCUCUCAGGGUCGCACCUGGAGAGUUUCCAUACUCCGCUAGUCUCGACUACGGGAGGGAGAGUCAGGCAGAAUUAUUCCCAUUCCAUUCCUAGCUUGGGCAGUGGCUAGCGAGUGGAAGCCAAUCUGCUACAAGU